CCUUCGGUUGAUCCUGCCGGAGUCACCGCUAUUGGAAUGCGCUUAAGCCAUGCGAGUCGAGAGGGUUCGGCCCUCGGCGUAACGCUCAGUAACACGUGGAUAAUUUGCCCUGGGGUGGGGGAUAACCUCUGGGAAACUGAGAAUAAUACCCCAUAGGUAGGGAUGUGCUGGAAUGCCGCCCAACUGAAACGAGCUUAUCGCCCCAGGAUGAGUCUGCGGCCUAUCAGGUUGUAGUGGGGGUAAUAUCCCUACUAGCCUUCGACGGGUACGGGCCUUGGGAGAGGUCGCCCGGAGAUGGAUUCUGAGACAUGAAUCCAGGCCCUACGGGGCGCAGCAGGCGCGAAAACUUCACAAUGCGGGAAACCGCGAUGAGGGGAUUCCAAGUGCGUGCGCUUUGCGAACGCUUUUCUUUAGUCUAGAUAGACUUGAGGAAUAAGGGCUGGGUAAGACCGGUGCCAGCCGCCGCGGUAACACCGGCAGCCCAAGUGGUGAUCGCUUUUAUUGGGCCUAAAGCGUCCGUAGCCGGCUCGGUAAGUCCUUGGGUAAAUCAUCCGGCUUAACCGUAUGAAUUCCAGGGAUACUGCCGGGCUUGGGACUGGGAGAGGCUAGAGGUACUCAUGGGGUAGGGGUAAAAUCCAGUAAUCCUGUGGGGACCACCAGUGGCGAAGGCGUCUAGCUAGAACGGCUCCGACGGUAAGGGACGAAGCCCAGGGGCACAAACCGGAUUAGAUACCCGGGUAGUCCUGGGUGUAAACGCUGCGGGCUUGGUGUUGGAGGUCCUGCUAGGGCGUUCAGUGCCGUAGAGAAGUUGUUAAGCCCGC
rnacentral:rRNA from 1 species